rnacentral:lncRNA from 10 species
CAGCCCUGUAGGAGACACCUCCAGAGAAAGUAACAGCUCUCAAUUGAUUAGCUGAGGGUCUCGCUCUGUCACCCAGGCUGGAGUGCAGUGGUAUGAUCACAGCUCACUGCAGCCUUGACCUCCCAGGCUUACGUGAUCUUCCCACCUCCGCCUCACAGAAGCCUCAGGGGCUGGAUCCUGACAUGAACCAGACACCUCCAGAAUUCUAUCCCAAGCAAAAGAUUAUUUCAAGGCCAGAACUCACUCCCUGCUGGAGACUGACUACAAGAUCCACUGAGAUUGAUGUGUAACCUGAUUGGGCCCACAGUGAUGCUAGCCCCUUCACCAGAUGGAACAAUAAUUCCAGACAAGCCAUCAGAGCAGGUCACACCACUUGACACCUUCUCGCCCCCUUGCCUCUCCUGCAUUCCAAACCCCUCUCUUUAAAAUCCCCAUGUUCCCUCCGUAAACUGGGCAGUGCCAAUUGUUGGAAAGAAUUCUGGCACUCUUUUCCUUCUUAGCAUGGAUAAAAAGAUUCACCCUCUUUUUAUCACACCUCACUCUUGUUAUUUUGGCUUCUUUCUACAAGUGGUGAGCAACCGGGCCCCCUUUGCUGGUUAUAGUAUGAACUAUUUUAUUUUUUUUAAUCUACAAUAAAAUAAAA